rnacentral:rRNA from 1 species
GCGUGCUUAACACAUGCAAGUCGAACGCUGAAGCUCCCAGCUUGCUGGGGGUGGAUGAGUGGCGAACGGGUGAGUAACACGUGAGUAACCUGCCCCGAACUCUGGGAUAAGCGCUGGAAACGGCGUCUAAUACUGGAUAUGUCCUAUCACCGCAUGGUGUGUAGGUGGAAAGAAUUUCGGUUCGGGAUGGACUCGCGGCCUAUCAGCUAGAUGGUGAGGUAAUGGCUCACCAUGGCGACGACGGGUAGCCGGCCUGAGAGGGUGACCGGCCACACUGGGACUGAGACACGGCCCAGACUCCUACGGGAGGCAGCAGUGGGGAAUAUUGCACAAUGGGCGCAAGCCUGAUGCAGCAACGCCGCGUGAGGGAUGACGGCCUUCGGGUUGUAAACCUCUUUUAGUAGGGAAGAAGCGAAAGUGACGGUACCUGCAGAAAAAGCACCGGCUAACUACGUGCCAGCAGCCGCGGUAAUACGUAGGGUGCAAGCGUUGUCCGGAAUUAUUGGGCGUAAAGAGCUCGUAGGCGGCUUGUCGCGUCUGCUGUGAAAACCAGAGGCUCAACCUCUGGCCUGCAGUGGGUACGGGCAAGCUAGAGUGCGGUAGGGGAGAUUGGAAUUCCUGGUGUAGCGGUGGAAUGCGCAGAUAUCAGGAGGAACACCGAUGGCGAAGGCAGAUCUCUGGGCCGUAACUGACGCUGAGGAGCGAAAGCAUGGGGAGCGAACAGGAUUAGAUACCCUGGUAGUCCAUGCCGUAAACGUUGGGAACUAGAUGUAGGGCCUGUUCCACGGGUUCUGUGUCGUAGCUAACGCAUUAAGUUCCCCGCCUGGGGAGUACGGCCGCAAGGCUAAAACUCAAAGGAAUUGACGGGGGCCCGCACAAGCGGCGGAGCAUGCGGAUUAAUUCGAUGCAACGCGAAGAACCUUACCAAGGCUUGACAUAUAC